GUUUUAGCGAUGAUUAGAAUUCAAUUCCUCGUUCUGAAUGCUAUCAUUCGAAUGAAAGACUCUUUUACACCCAUAGAAUCUGAGCGAA